GUAAUGAAUUGUUUUUAUACCACUCCAGGUGGCGUUCUACAUGUAAACAUUAAAUUUAUUACUCAAUGGACUAGAAAGGAGACUUUACAAUUAAUAACAAAUCUUAUGACAGACAAGCGUAUAUUUAAAUUGGACCUCAUUGGAAAUGGGCUGGACUCCGGCCUAAUGGGCGUUCCUGAUGCUCGCAAUGUAGACAAAGAAGCCACAACUAUCAGGAAAGAAUGUCCGGACUGAAAGGGCAACAGAACUUACCAAUUAUUCAUAGAUAGCCAUAAAUUGUGUCACUCAUCAAGCUUCUGGAUAUAAAAUUAAUUAAAAU